UACGUAGGGAGCGAGCGUUGUCCGGAUUUACUGGGCGUAAAGGGCGCGUAGGCGGCUUGUUAAGUGUGGUGUGAAAUCUCCAGGGCUCAACCCGGAAACUGCACCGCAUACUGGCUAGCUAGAGAGAGGUAGAGGUAAGUAGAAUUCCUGGUGUAACGGUGACAUGUGUAGAUAUCAGGAGGAAUACCGAUGGUGAAGACAGCUUACUGGGCCUUUUCUGACGCUGAGGCGCGAAAGCGUGGGUAGCAAACAGA
rnacentral:rRNA from 1 species